rnacentral:rRNA from 1 species
CAAGCGUUGUUCGGAAUUACUGGGCGUAAAGGGCUCGUAGGCGGCCAACUAAGUCGGAUGUGAAAUCCCCAGGCUUAACCUGGGAACUGCAUCCGAUACUGGAUGGCUUGAAUUCGGGAGAGGGAUGCAGAAUUCCAGGUGUAGCGGUGAAAUGCGUAGAUAUCUGGAGGAAUACCGGUGGCGAAGGCGGCAUCCUGGACCGAGAUUGACGCUGAGGCGCGAAAGCGUGGGGAGCAAACAGG